rnacentral:rRNA from 1 species
AUUGAACGCUGGCGGCAGGCCUAACACAUGCAAGUCGAGCGGAUGAAGGGAGCUUGCUCCUGGAUUCAGCGGCGGACGGGUGAGUAAUGCCUAGGAAUCUGCCUGGUAUUUGGGGAUAACGUCCGGAAACGGGCGCUAAUACCGCAUACGUCCUGAGGGAGAAAGGGGGGGAUCUUCGGACCUCACGCUAUCAGAUGAGCCUAGGUCGGAUUAGCUAGUUGGUUGGGUAAAGGCCUACCAAGGCGACGAUCCGUAACUGGUCUGAGAGGAUGAUCAGUCACACUGGAACUGAGACACGGUCCAGACUCCUACGGGAGGCAGCAGUGGGGAAUAUUGGACAAUGGGCGAAAGCCUGAUCCAGCCACGCCGCGUGUGUGAAGAAGGUCUUCGGAUUGUAAAGCACUUUAAGUUGGGAGGAAGGGCAGUAAGUUAAUACCUUGCUGUUUUGACGUUACCAACAGAAUAAGCACCGGCUAACUUCGUG